ACGGGUGAGUAAUGCCUAGGAAUCUGCCUGGUAGUGGGGGAUAACGCUCGGAAACGGACGCUAAUACCGCAUACGUCCUACGGGAGAAAGCAGGGGACCUUCGGGCCUUGCGCUAUCAGAUGAGCCUAGGUCGGAUUAGCUAGUUGGUGAGGUAAUGGCUCACCAAGGCGACGAUCCGUAACUGGUCUGAGAGGAUGAUCAGUCACACUGGAACUGAGACACGGUCCAGACUCCUACGGGAGGCAGCAGUGGGGAAUAUUGGACAAUGGGCGAAAGCCUGAUCCAGCCAUGCCGCGUGUGUGAAGAAGGUCUUCGGAUUGUAAAGCACUUUAAGUUGGGAGGAAGGGCAUUAACCUAAUACGUUAGUGUUUUGACGUUACCGACAGAAUAAGCACCGGCUAACUCUGUGCCAGCAGCCGCGGUAAUACAGAGGGUGCAAGCGUUAAUCGGAAUUACUGGGCGUAAAGCGCGCGUAGGUGGUUUGUUAAGUUGGAUGUGAAAUCCCCGGGCUCAACCUGGGAACUGCAUUCAAAACUGACAAGCUAGAGUAUGGUAGAGGGUGGUGGAAUUUCCUGUGUAGCGGUGAAAU
rnacentral:rRNA from 1 species